rnacentral:rRNA from 1 species
GGAUAAAAAGGUUAUUUAUAUUAAGAUUUUGGUACUUAUACUGGUAAAAAGAAUAAUUUUUAUUUUAUUAAUUUGUAUGAAUAAAUUUAUAUUGUGAUAAUAUAAAAUUAGAGUUAAUUAGUAUUGUGAGAGAAUUCUUUAAGCCAUUUAAAAGAAGAAUUUAGUUUUUGUACCUUGUGUAUCAGGGUUUAUUGAAUAAAAUCUAUUUAUAUAGGUUUCUCGAAUUUAAAAGAGCUAUUAAUGUAUAUUAUUUUAUUGUAGAAUAAAUAUUUUAAAUAUGUUGAUAGGAGUUAGAUGCUAUUUGAUUUUAAAUAUAUCUAGUUUUUUAAGAAUGAAAUUUAAUUUUAUUUUUGUUUGAUUAUUUUACUAAAUUUUUAGUAAGAUGAUAGCAGGACUAUAUACUAUAAGGGAUGAGCUUUACAGUAAAUUCAUAUAAUUUUUGGUUGUUAAAUAUAUAAAGUAAGAUUAUUAGUUUUUAGCUUUAAUAGUGUGUUAUUACUAAAUAUGAUUUAAGAGAAAAUUUUUAUAAAAUUUAUGUGUUUUAUUAGAAUAUGAGUUAUAAUAUUGAGAAUCAAGAAAUAAUGAUAGAAUUAGUAUAAUUUUAUGUAUAAUUUUAAAAUAUUGAAAGGUUUUAAAAAGGAACUCGGCAAAUAUAUUUUUCACCUGUUUAAUAAAAACAUGGCUUGUUGAUUAUGAUUUCAAGUCUAGCCUGCCCACUGAUUAGUUUAAAUGGCCGCAGUAAUUUGACUGUGCAAAGGUAGCAUAAUCACUAGUUUUUUAAUUGGAAGCUUGAAUGAAAGGUUUGAUGAAAAAAUGACUGUCUCUUUAAAAAUUUAUUAGAAUUUUAUUUUUAAGUUAAAAAGCUUAAAUUAAUAUGGAAGACGAGAAGACCCUAUAGAGUUUUACAUAUUAGUUUAUUUUAGAUAGAAGGUAUUGUAUAGUUUAUAAUAUUUGAAUAUGUUUUGUUGGGGUGAUGAGAAAAUUUAAGUAACUUUUUUUUAAGGAAAAUAUUGAUGUAUAAGUUUAUGAUCCUAUAUUUUAGAUUAGAAGAUUAAAUUACCUUAGGGAUAACAGCGUAAUUCUUUCUAGAGUUCUUAUCGAAGAGAGAGAUUGCGACCUCGAUGUUGGAUUAAAAUUUGUUAUUGGUGAAGAAGCUAAUACACUAGGUCUGUUCGACCUUUAAAAUUUUACAUGAUCUGAGUUUAAACCGGUGUGAGCCAGGUUGGUUUCUAUCUCUAUAAAAAGAAAAUAUUUUAGUACGAAAGGACCGAGUAUUUAAUUUAAAAUUUUAUUUUUGAAUAUUAUUA